rnacentral:misc_RNA from 1 species
UCCGGUUUGGCACCGGCAGUCUCCCUAGAGUUCCCGGCAUCACCCGCUGGCAACUAAGGACAGGGGUUGCGCUCGUUGCGCCACUUAAGGCAACACCUCACGGCACGAGCUGACGACAGCCAUGCACCACCUGUGCAGGCUCCGAAGAGCGCCGGCUUUCGCCGGUUUCACCCUGCAUGUCAAGCCCAGGUAAGGUGGGGAUGACGUUCCAAGGUUGG